rnacentral:rRNA from 1 species
UGGUCAAGUUAUUAAGGGUGCAGGGCGGAUGCCUUGGCACUAGGAGCCGAUGAAGGACGUGAUAAGCUGCGAUAAGCUUCGGGGAGUUGCACGUAAACUUUGAUCCGAAGAUUUCCGAAUGAGGAAACUCACUUAGAGUAAUGUCUAAGUAUCAUUAAGUGAAUACAUAGCUUAAUGAGGGGAACUCAGGGAACUGAAACAUCUAAGUACCUGAAGGAAGAGAAAGAAAUUCGAUUCCGUAAGUAGCGGCGAGCGAACGCGGAUUAGCCCAAACCAAUAAAGUUUUCUUUAUUGGGGUUGCGGACAUAUCAUAACGAAGAGGUAUCGUAAUUGAAGAGGUUUGGAAAGACCCACCACAGAAGGUAAUAGUCCUGUAUGUUAAACGAGAAGACUUCAGAUAUGAUCCAGAGUACCACGGGACACGUGAAACCCUGUGGGAAGCAGGAGGGACCACCCUCCAAGGCUAAAUACUACCUAGUGACCGAUAGCGUAUAGUACCGUGAGGGAAAGGUGAAAAGAACCCCGGGAGGGGAGUGAAAUAGAACCUGAAACCCUGCACUUACAAGCUGUGGAAGCACAUUUCUUGUGUGACCGCGUACUUUUUGUAGAACGGGCCAACGAGUUACGUUAAGUAGCAAGGUUAAGCACUUAAGGUGCGGAGCCGUAGCGAAAGCGAGUUUUAACUGAGCGUUCAGUUACUUGACGUAGACCCGAAACCGGGCGACCUACCCAUGAGCAGGAUGAAGCGAAAGUAAAAUUUCGUGGAGGUCCGAACCCACGAGCGUUGAAAAGCUCGGGGAUGACUUGUGGGUAGCGGUGAAAUUCCAAUCGAGCCCGGAGAUAGCUGGUUCUCCCCGAAAUAGCUUUAGGGCUAGCCUCAAGGUGAGAGAUACGGAGGUAGAGCACUGAAUGUCCUAGGGGGUAUUGCACCUACCGAAGACUAUCAAACUCCGAAUGCCGUCAUCUUAUACUUGGGAGUCAGACUGUGGGUGAUAAGAUUCAUAGUCGAAAGGGCAACAGCCCAGAUCGUCAGCUAAGGUCCCUAAAUGUAAGUUAAGUGGUAAAGGAUGUGGGAUUGCACAGACAACCAGGAUGUUGGCUUAGAAGCAGCCACUCAUUCAAAGAGUGCGUAAUAGCUCACUGGUCGAGUGAUCCUGCGCCGAAGAUUUCCGGGGCUAAAACUUACUACCGAAGCUACGGCAUCAGUAAUGAUGGGUAGGGGAGCUUCCCAUACGGGUUGAAGCGUGACCGUAAGGACAUGUGGACAGUAUGGGAGUGAGAAUGUUGGCAUGAGUAGCGAGAUGUGGGUGAGAAUCCCACAGGCCGUAAACCCAAGGUUUCCAGGGGAAGGUUCGUCCGCCCUGGGUUAGUCGGGACCUAAGCUGAGGCCGAAAGGCGUAGGUGAUGGACAACAGGUUGAUAUUCCUGUACUACCGAUAACCGUUUGAGAGAAGGGAUGACACAGUAGGAUAAGCUAAGCACACUGUUGGUUAUGUGUGCCCAAGCAUUGAGGCAGUCAAAGUAGGCAAAUCCGCUUUGAUAAUGCUGGGAUGUGAUGGGGAGCGAAAUUUAGUAGCGAAGUAGCUGAUUUCACACUGUCAAGAAAAGUCUCUAUCGAGGUUAAAGGUACCCGUACCGCAAACCGACACAGGUGGGUGAGGAGAGUAUCCUAAGGCCAGCGAGAGAACUGUUGUUAAGGAACUCGGCAAAAUGACCCCGUAACUUAGGGAUAAGGGGUGCCACCAUCAGGUGGCUGCAGAGAAUAGGCCCAAGCGACUGUUUACCAAAAACAUAGGUUUCUGCUAAGUCGCAAGACGAUGUAUAGGAGCUGACGCCUGCCCGGUGCUGGAAGGUUAAGGGGAUCUGUUAGAGCAAUCGAAGCAGUGAACUUAAGCCCCAGUAAACGGCGGCCGUAACUAUAACGGUCCUAAGGUAGCGAAAUUCCUUGUCGGGUAAGUUCCGACCCGCACGAAAGGCGUAACGAUUUGGGCACUGUCUCAACAACAGACUCGGUGAAAUUGUAAUUCCGGUGAAGAUGCCGGAUACCUGCGACAGGACGGAAAGACCCCAUGGAGCUUUACUGUAGCUUGACAUUGGGUCUACUACAGUAGGAUAGGUGGGAGGCUUUGAAACCAGGACGCCAGUUUU